GACGAACGCUGGCGGCGUGCCUAACACAUGCAAGUCGAGCGGGGAGGAGGAAGCUUGCUUCCGAAUCCUAGCGGCGGACGGGUGAGUAACGCGUGAGCAAUCUGCCUCAAACAGGGGGAUAACGCAUCGAAAGAUGUGCUAAUACCGCGUAAGACCACAGUACCGCAUGGUACAGGGGUCAAAGGAGCAAUCCGGUUUGAGAUGAGCUCGCGUCCGAUUAGCUAGUUGGUGAGGUAACGGCUCACCAAGGCGACGAUCAGUAGCCGGUCUGAGAGGAUGAACGGCCACAUUGGGACUGAGAUACGGCCCAG
rnacentral:rRNA from 1 species